GGGGCAAGCACUCAUUCAAAAGAAAAAAACAAGACGUGCAGCUCCUGCAAUGGAUUAUGAGCAAACCAUUAUUCCUGGCCAAAUAUAUCAGUCUUGGCUUCAAAAUGCUUCUGAUAUUGCCUCAAGGAGAGGAAGAAAAAGAAAGGCACGCGGGGAUAUCAUGUCUACAAUGAAGGUAGCUAAACUCAUGGAUCUGCCACCUAUGGUAAUUAUGGAUGAUUUGUACACACACGAAAAUAGACAAAUCUAUUAUCCAGCACCUCUUCUGGAGCUUUGGAUGAAAAGUACCCAACCUCCCCAUGACUCACCUUCUGCAAGGAUUUCCCCACCUCUGCCUCCAGAACCAUCAUCAUCAACACCACCAGAGAGAGGACAAUAUCAGGAACCAACAGGAUAUCCCUUUGAAGAUUUUCACAGUGGAACUGGGUCACAGUCACUAGGUUUCUCCAUAGAGAAACAGCGGGAAGCCGUUGUUAGUGAUGAAAUGCCAAUGGAAAUCCUCAUGGGAGAACUAAGAGCCAACCUUAUG
rnacentral:misc_RNA from 1 species